UACGUAGGGCGCAAGCGUUGUCCGGAAUUAUUGGGCGUAAAGAGCUCGUAGGCGGUUUGUCGCGUCUGCUGUGAAAACCUAAGGCUCAACCUUGGGCUUGCAGUGGGUACGGGCAGACUAGAGUGCGGUAGGGGUGACUGGAAUUCCUGGUGUAGCGGUGGAAUGCGCAGAUAUCAGGAGGAACACCGAUGGCGAAGGCAGGUCACUGGGCCGCAACUGACGCUGGAGGAGCGAAAGCUAGGGGAGCAAACAGG
rnacentral:rRNA from 1 species